UGACAACUUCCUGAAUAGCUAGAAGAGGGGGCGGGUAAACAAAAUCAUGUUAUGUGACGUUGUGAAACAUUACCGCCUUGGACUGACAAAACACACAACUAGCAUCUUUAUGGUAUUUGGCCUAUUUUACCCUUUGAUAACUUAUUGAGAAGAUGCUUCCAGCACCUGCAGUCUUUCAUUUCCUUUGGGAAGUCAACUCUGGUGCAGUCAAGGAGGGAGAUUCAGUGAGAACAUUUGGAAGGUGUUCGAUGCCAUUCCAUUUGCUCCGUUCCGGCCAUUAUUAUGAGCCGUUCUUCCGUCAGCAGCCUCCCCUGAUUGAUGAGUUACCAACCAGAGAAUCGAAGGCUACACUAUCUAUCCAGCAUGCAGCAAGACAGCACCAAGUUGUUGUUCAGACUACAUUUGUGGAACCCUUUGACCCCAUCAUUGGAGCACAGUACAUCGUUCUGGGCGAGAUUGAAAAAGCAGAGGGAGGUGAUGGUGUGAUGGUCCAUGCCCACGUGCUGAACUGUGUGGAUGGGGUGAACCUAGCCCUGCUACAGAGAGGUGUCAAUUAACAGAGAAGCUACUUCAGAGAGAGGGGGGAGAGCAAGGGAGAUGCUGCUACUGCUGCUCAGCCACUUGCUCCUCUCUGACCUGGACCCCGAUAAGAAUUAAUCUGUCACAACGCUGCACUGAUACAGUGCUACUGGUGGAAAGUUAUGAACCAGGUGGAAUUUAAUGACAUGUUGUAGUGUUUAAAUGACCUCAUUUAUACCUCAGAUGGAUCGUGUCAAAAGGUCAGAUUUUUUUUAUGGUUGGGACAUUUUCCCAUAUAGCCGAUUACAUGGGGAUGUCAAGAAUUAUGAGACUGUGCCUCUCACUAAUUUAGAAUGGCAAAGGGUGGAAUUGGGAUAUAAAAAUACUUCUGAGGAAAUCCUGAUUGAUACACAAAAGCUUCUUGUUCUGGUGCACUGUAAAGUCCUGCCAUUAUUUGUCAUAAGAUAUCAGUUCUGGAAGACACCCUCUUCCUCCUGACAGAGUUAGGCAAGUUCACUGAAUGUUGGGUCAGGUGUAUGAAGUAGGUCAAGAAAAUGCAUACUUACAUUCUUAUUGUAGCUAAUCUAAGAUAAGAGAAUGUUUGAUGUAGCUAUUUGUGAAUGAAAACUGAUAUGUAGCUUGGAAAUGUACACUGCUCAAAAAAAUAAAGGGAACACUAAAAUA